CCCGUCACACCAUGGGAGUCGUUUGCUCCAGAAGUAUCUGAGCCAACUCGCAAGAGAGGCAGGAUCCCAAGGAGUGAAUGGUAACUGGGGUG
rnacentral:rRNA from 1 species